UUAUGUAAAUAUCAUCUAUUUUGUUUGUGAUAUGCUUUACUAUUAUAGGUAUUUUAAACAUGACUUAACUUUCUGUAUGUUUGCAAUAAAUUUUUGAAUAAGACGAAUGGUCAAAGUUGUAAGAAAAAAUCAACGGUGACAAAUAUUUUGAUACGAAGGGAAUACUAUCACAGAGUUUACUGGUAUGCAGAGGAGUCACCCAAUCAUUUAUGUUGAGGGGAAGAGGGUGCUCCAAUCUCUGAAAAGUUAGAACCACAGUAAGCUGAUCAAUUCCUACUCUAUCAGCUACAUUUGGAGGUUUAUGUCUUGUUUCGUUGUUGUUAGGGUUGAACGAGAGCUCUUCAACUUUGCAUAGCUGAACAUUGUCUGUUCAAAUAAUCAAUGCUCUAUGUGACUAUGUCAGUGGUACAGUAUUGUGGACGUGUUAGGAUAACCAGACAGGCAGACACUUCUGUCAAACUGGGAGCAUUUGGAACCUCAUCCAAUGCUUUCCAGCCCUCAUUUUUAUGAGAAACAUUUCUGUUUAUUGAUGCCCCUCAUCUACUUCAGUGUUUAUGAAUUAGAUGCAUAGAAAACCAUGUCCUGGAGGUUGUCUAUAUGGUCUUGCUAAAGUGCUAAAAGGUUGUUGAUUGCAGAAGGAGUUUAGCUUUGCUCCUUUUAUGUUGAUGAGACAUAAUGUAACUCGUUUUGAUCACCUCGAUAAAAUAUGUUUCAGUUGCUUGGAACAAAUCAUGUUGUUUUGUUUCAGUUGCUUUUGCAGUACUGGAAGAAUUACGAAAUGGAAAUGUCAACUUUGCAUCAAUUGAUUUCUGGCUACUCUGUUCUGAACCGUGAAGGUACAACUUUGCAUCAACUGAUUGCUGGCUUGUGACUACUCUGUUCUGCACCAUGAAGGUGAUGCUACUGACCUCCCUCCUACAGGUGUUGAUGGUAUCGAACAAUUAGGGCUUCGAGUCGGAGUCAUUGACCCAAGUGGAGUUCCCGUCCUUGAAGGUUCCUGACUAGGGCGACCAGAAAUUUUGGGAACAAUGACACCCCUGGCUGCAGCAGAAUUCAUCUGGUGUACAGUCUGAUUCUGUGCUGUGCCUUUGGAGAUGUUCUGAUUAACAUUCUGCCGGUUCACGAUCCAUUUCUCAGCGUCAUUCC